UACGGGGGGGGCAAGCGUUGUUCGGAAUUACUGGGCGUAAAGGGCUCGUAGGCGGCCAACUAAGUCGGACGUGAAAUCCCCAGGCUCAACCUGGGAACUGCGUCCGAUACUGGAUGGCUUGAAUCCGGGAGAGGGAUGCAGAAUUCCAGGUGUAGCGGUGAAAUGCGUAGAGAUGUGGAGGAACACCGAUGGCGAAGGCAGCCCCCUGGGUCAAGAUUGACGCUCACGCACGAAAGCGUGGGGAGCAAACAGG
rnacentral:rRNA from 1 species